AUUCUGGGAUGAGAAAUAGCCAAAUCUGAACACCAGAAGAUAAAACAAUCUUCCAGGUAUAUGCAGUAUUCAGUUCUGAAA